rnacentral:rRNA from 1 species
CCUACGGGUGGCAGCAGUCGAGAAUCAUUCACAAUGGGGGAAACCCUGAUGGUGCGACGCCGCGUGAGUGAAGAAGGGUUUCGGAUUGUAAACCCCUGUCAUGUGGGAGCAAAUUAAAAAGAUAGUACCACAAGAGGAAGAGACGGCUAACUCUGUGCCAGCAGCCGCGGUAAUACAGAGGUCUCAAGCGUUGUGCGGAAUCACUGGGCGUAAAGCGUGCGUAGGCUGUUUCGUAAGUCGUGUGUGAAAGGCGCGGGCUCAACCCGCGGACGGCACAUGAUACUGCGAGACUAGAGUAAUGGAGGGGGAACCGGAAUUCUCGGUGUAGCAGUGAAAUGCGUAGAUAUCGAGAGGAACACUCGUGGCGAAGGCGGGUUCCUGGCCUGUUGACUGACGCUGAGGCACGAAAGCGUGGGGAGCAAAUAGGAUUAGAUACCCGGGUAGUC